GGGUCACUUUCCUUAUACAUUGCCAAAAAGUACAGCAAUUGCAGGAUUACUGGGAUUUGCAACUCAACAACCCAGAGAGCAUUCAUUGAGGAGCAGUGUCGGUAUAAUGCUUGAUACAUUAGCAAUAUAUCAUUCACUUCAAAUGGUAGAUUUUGUGUCAGAUAUAUAGUAUUAUCUAAUAAAAAAAAAACGAUAUUGACCAUUUUCUAUUAAUAAAGUAACAUAUUCUUGGUUUCUUCACAAAUUGGAAGCUGAGGAUCAGCAGAUGAUCCAAACCAUUUAAUCACCCUUUUCUGUAGGGAACAUCAGCUGCAGAAUAUAGAAAUCAUUGUUGCAGAUAUUA
rnacentral:misc_RNA from 1 species